GUAUACCUAUUAACUCGCCUCUACUGGAAGGGCAGGAAACUGCAUUACAGUUUACAUUUCUGGCAGAAGCACUGAAUUCAAAUGUUUUUCAGAUUUAGUAUCUAUCUACCAUUAAAUUGUUUAAUUUAUAGGAUACUUAAAUUCAUCAAUCUAGGGAUGGAUAAGCUUUCUCCUUUUCCCUUUCAAUACUUUCUAACUUUGGAGUCAUAUCCAUCAAUUUAUUUCAGUUUAAGGGAAGUAGUUUCUGCUACGUUAUUUGUCAAAUUAAUUUGUUUUUUCCUAAUUUGUUAUGAUUUUCUUCUCUUAUUUCCAAGUGUUUGCAGGGGUAUUAAUUGUGAAUUUCAGUCAGUUGGAUAGUUAGCAAUCUGAUUGACUGUAAAGGAUUGCUUCUCGUGUAUUGAUUUCAAGGUAUGGUUGUUUUAGAAUAGUUUUAGAAUACUUCAUCUUAGCUUUCUUGAAGACUAAUUGAGUCUAAAUACAUACUUUUAACUGGGAUCUGUCUAAAUGAGAUAAAAUGAACUUUAAAGGACAAAAAUUAGCUUUAUAUAUACCUCUCUUAGCGUUCUUCUCACUGAAUUUGCAUGUUAGCAAUGGUGGCUACUAGUUGUGUGAAUAGAGUUUAAUUCAACUUAAUUCAUCUAACUUAACUUAAUUCAUCUAACUAAAGUAAGUAAUUAUGUUUACUUACUUUAGUUAGUUUGACCUUACCAAUGAUAAGGUUGAGUUAUGAAUUUACUUUGACUCUUUUGAUAGAUUUGUACUCUUAGUUUCAGUUCAUUGGCAUAGAACGUUAAUAUGGACCGAAGUUGGAUAAAUUCUAAACGAACAACCGAAGAAUAUGAGAGAGGAGUGGAACAAUUUAUUGAAUUUGCUACGAGGAAUGUAGUAGAUAAUAAUGGAAGAUUUUAUUGUCCAUGUGUGAAUUGCUUGAACGAGCGGAGACUACCCAUUGUAGUAAUACGAGAGCAUGUUNUGUGUGAUGGGUUCCUAAAGAACUACACCAAGUGGACAUGGCAUGGUGAAUUAGUAGAAGUGCCAAUAGCACAUGUGUCUCAAACUAAAGUAGAAGAAGUGGAUUUCGUUAUGGAAGAUGGUUUGGAGCAAAUGAUUCGUGAUGUUGGAGAUGAUGUCUUUGCACGAUCACAUAUGUAUGAAACUUUGUGUAGUGAUGCAGAAAUGCCUUUGUAUUCAGGGUGCAUUAAGUACACUCGAUUNUCGGCAAUAUUAAAACUCUUUAAUGUGAAGGCAAGAAAUGGGUGGAGUGAUAAGAGUUUCACCGAAUUGCUUGAGUUAGUGAGUGACAUUCUUCCUGAAGGUAACACGAUGCCAACAUCUAAUUAUGAUGCAAAAAAGAUAUUAUGUCCAAUGGGUAUGAUUUUUCUAUUUUUAUGAGGAAUUGGCUUGUUGGUUUACCAAAAUUGAUCAAAGGUGGUACAAAGGCUAUAACUAGAGUAUAAUAUGAUCUUUUGUGUCCUUAGUUUGAAUGAGUUUUGAUUAUUUGUGUUUAAUUUGCAGUGUCGACGUCAAUUGGGCAGCUAUGAGUGUGGGUAUUACGUAAUGAAGCACAUGCACACCAUUAUUUGUACAAACAUUACUGAUUCAUGGGAUAAGGUAUUAAAAAACUAACUUAAUACUUAUCGAACUGUUCAGUACAAAAUUGUUCUAACUUAAUUAUUUUAUUUGUAGAUCUUUGAUGAUUCAUCUCCAAUGGAAGCUCCAGACAUUGAAGACAUUAGAACUAAGUGGGCUUCUUUUAUUUUAAGUGUUAGUAAAUUGUAGAAACUUGACUACAAUAUAGUGUAGGUUGAUGUUAUUUGGAUUUAAUAUGACUUAAAAAUUAUGUAUUAGAUAUUAUUGAACAAUUUAAUGUUUGAAAUGGAUUUCACAUUAUGUUAGUUUAAUUGAAUAUGUU
rnacentral:lncRNA from 1 species